rnacentral:rRNA from 1 species
AGAUGUGAAAUCCCCGGGCUCAACCUGGGAACUGCAUCUGAUACUGGCAAGCUUGAGUCUCGUAGAGGGGGGUAGAAUUCCAGGUGUAGCGGUGAAAUGCGUAGAGAUCUGGAGGAAUACCGGUGGCGAAGGCGGCCCCCUGGACGAAGACUGACGCUCAGGUGCGAAAGCGUGGGGAGCAAACAGGAUUAGAUACCCUGGUAGUCCACGCCGUAAACGAUGUCGACUUGGAGGUUGUGCCCUUGAGGCGUGGCUUCCGGAGCUAACGCGUUAAGUCGACCGCCUGGGGAGUACGGCCGAAAGGUUAAAACUCAAAUGAAUUGACGGGGGCCCGCACAAGCGGUGGAGCAUGU